UGGCGAACGGGUGAGUAACACGUGGGGCAACCUGCCCAAAAGAGGGGGAUAACACUUGGAAACAGGUGCUAAUACCGCAUAACCAUAGUUACCGCAUGGUAACUAUGUAAAAGGUGGCUAUACUACCGCUUUUGGAUGGGCCCGCGGCGCAUUAGCUAGUUGGUAGGGUAAAGGCUUACCAAGGCAAUGAUGCGUAGCCGAAUUGAGAGGUUGAUCGGCCACAUUGGGACUGAGACACGGCCCAAACUCCUACGGAAGGCAGCAG
rnacentral:rRNA from 1 species